UAGGGAAUAUUGCACAAUGGGGGAAACCCUGAUGCAGCGACGCCGCGUGAAGGAAGAAGUAUCUCGGUAUGUAAACUUCUAUCAGCAGGGAAGACAAUGACGGUACCUGACUAAGAAGCCCCGGCUAACUACGUGCCAGCAGCCGCGGUAAUACGUAGGGGGCAAGCGUUAUCCGGAUUUACUGGGUGUAAAGGGAGCGUAGACGGCGGAGCAAGUCUGAAGUGGAAGCCCGGGGCUCAACCCCGGGACUGCUUUGGAAACUGUUCUGCUAGAGUGCUGGAGAGGUAAGUGGAAUUCCUAGUGUAGCGGUGAAAUGCGUAGAUAUUAGGAGGAACACCAGUGGCGAAGGCGGCUUACUGGACAAUAACUGACGCUGAGGCGCGAAAGUGUGGGUAUCAAACAGGAUUAGAUACCC
rnacentral:rRNA from 1 species